AAGCGAUUGGGACCCUUCCGAUUCCAAGAAGUGCCGCCGGUUUGCCAUCUAUCCCUUUGCCUUCUCUCUCUCACCAGGUUUAGGCUUAGGUUUCUCGAUGUAUUUCCGGUUAAUCUUUUUGGAGAGGUCAGCAUCAGCUACUCGGAAUUGAUUUCGUUCAAAGAAGGUAGGUUCCUUGUGGACCCUUAUAUCUUUGUUCUUUCCUUUUCCUUGUGGCUGAGGAGUGUUUUGGUUUCCGAGCUCCACUUUCGAGUACUCGGUUUCUGUGAUGCUGGCUUAAUCGGUUCCAACCGACCCGUCUUGAAACACGGACCAAGGAGUCUAACAUAUGUGCGAGUAUGCGGGUUUUACUCCUGUAUGCGCAAUGAAAGUGAGAGUAGGGAGAUUUUGGCUUUGCCAUUCUUCGCACCUACGACCGACCACGAUCUCUGAGAGAGGUUUGAGUUGGAGCAUAUCUGUUAGGACCCGAAAGAUGGUGAACUAUGCCUGAGUAGAAUGAAGUCAGGGGAAACCCUGAUGGAGGUUCGUAGCGAUACUGACGUGCAAAUCGUUCGUCAAACUUGGGUAUAGGGGCGAAAGACUAAUCGA
rnacentral:rRNA from 1 species